AUGGGAUUAUUUGUGAAUUUUACUCAUGGUCAAAGACUCCUGAUGAACCAUUUCUUACAUUCCAUAUAUCUUUUCAGAGAAUUUCAGCCAAAUGUCACAACACUAUAUUUAACCUUAAGGUCCAUACAUAUAAUGCGUUAUAUUAGUGUAUUGGAACACAAUGCAGCUAAGGUUUUCCUUUUCAAUGAUGUAAUAUGCAAGUGUCAGUUGCAACGAUAUCUCACAACUCACGUGCAAAGCACGUGCAACUCACUAGUAACAAGAAAAACCUGUGUUGCACACAUUUAUAUGGUGUGUACCUAUGUUGCACACAUGAUUCUAAAAUAA
rnacentral:rRNA from 1 species